CAUUGCUUGUAGUGUUUAUUUAGUUAUUUAUUAGAUUUCUAUCCCGCCCCAUAGCCGAAGCUCUCGAGGCGGUUCACAACAAAUGUGUUAAGCGGACAAACGUUGAGAAUAAUCCAUACUGGGUUAGUUGAGUGAUUAUUACCCAAAUAACGAGGGGGAAAUCCAGUGGGGAAAAUUCCAUGCAAGGGAAUUGUGAAGAAUAAUUAAAAGAAGAAGGCUUUUUGUUUCCAUUAAAAACACAAAAAGCCAAAACCCACAGAGGAGCAAUACUAUUACUAGGACGAACUAAAACGUCUGAAGCCGUGAAACAAGAACUCGGUCCUUUAGCCAGGGGCGUAACUACCGCGGUGCGGCGGGUGCGGGCCGCACCGGGCGUCACCACGAGCCGCCCCCCGCCCUAGGCACCGCGGCCGGGAAGCGGCGGGCGCGGCCAAGGAAGAGAGAGAGAGGAGCGAGCGCGGCAACUGCCCUCUUGACUCAGCACCCGCCCUGCCGCCUCGCAGGCUGGCAGAAUGGUGCAAUCUCUCUGCCGCUCCGCAGUUCCAGCAGCCUGAGGCCGGGCAUGCCGCAAAGCAACCCAGAAAAUCCCUCCUGGCUUUAGGCUGUUAGGGACAGCCCCGAGCAAGCAGCCGGCCAGCUCGGGGCAAGUUAGUUCUUGAUCAGCCUUGUGGUGGUGGUUCUUGAGGAAGAGACCACCUCAGCUGAACAUCGAGUUUACCUCUGGACUUCUCAAAACUGGGGUUUUGGCCACAGAGUGAAUAAUAUGAGGCACAGACACCAGAGUUUCGGGAAGGUAAAGUGGAAGAGACACAGAAUCCUGGAAUGUCUCGGAAUCUUUAACUAAGCACUGUUGGAGCUGCUCAUCAAACCUAGACCAGCAAAGCUUUUCAUACAGGCACUCAGGGAGAUGUUCCACUUCUGAAACGGCCACUGUUAGAUCUGCUCCACUGGAAAUAUUUAGUUCUUUGUUGUCUAUUUGCUGGCUGGCACAAUAUUCAGUUGGAAACAUUGAAUAAGAAUACAGCUUUGCAACACGCUGAGUCUUUAUCUCAGACCUAGACAAUGAGAAAUAUCAAGCACAGGCAAUUGUGUGCUUUAUACCAGAAUUAUGACAUAUCGGUAAGUCAGCUCUAUUGGUCCAGGAUGAAACCACGGCUCCAUCUCGUUCAGCAUUCUAUUUGCAAAGGUCACAGCAUGAUGCUCCCAGGAAAUGGGAGAUAACGUAUAUUGGAUAUCCUAUAAUGUGGCCCGUUUCGCCCAUGCUGCUCAAAAAUUGAGGGCCAAAUACUUAACUACUCAGGGUUUACAUACAGCUUCAGGCUUAUAGGUUUUAAUGUCUUAUAUGGUUCGUAUACAGAAUUUAUUUAUUUUAAUGCUGUUCUAUACUAUUGUAUGUGUUUUUAACUUUGUUUGUACGUUGCGGCCGCCUAAGGCCUGCAAUAAAGAUGAUGAUGAUGAUGAUGAUGAGUCUGCUGGAUUAAGCCAAUGGCCCAUCUAGCAUCCUGUUCUCACAGGGGCCAACCAUGGGAUGCCCGCAAGCAGGACCUGAGUGCAAGAGCAUUCUCCCAUCCUGCGGUUUCCAGCAAAUGGUAUUUGGAAGCAUACUGCCUCUGACUGUGGAGGGACAACAUAGCUCAUCAUGGCUACUAGCCACUGAUAACCUUAUCCACCAUGAAUUUGUCUAAUCCUCUUUUAAAGCCAUCCAAGUUGGUGGCCAUCAGGCCUCUUAUAUAAUUAUGUGCUAUAUGAAGAAUCUUCCAACAUUCCAAUUCAUUAGAUGCCACAAGUUCUAAUUUUAUGAGAGAGGGAGAAAAACUUUUCUCUAUCCACUUUUUUCAUGCCACACAGAACUUUAUACACUCUUAUGUCACCUCUUACUCGCCUUUUCUCUAAACAAAAAGGCUCAAAUACCACAACCUUUCCUCACAGGGAAGUCACUCCAUCUCCUUGAUCAUUUUGGUUGCCUUUUUUUGAACCUUUUCCAACUCUACAAUAUCCUUCUUGAGAUGAGGCGACCAGUACUCCAAGUGUGGCCACACCAUCGAUUUAUAUAACGGCAUUAUGAUAGUGGCACUUUUAUUUUCAAUACUUUUCCUAAUGAUCCCUAGCAUGGAAUUUGCCUUUUUCACAGGAUAACACUUCAUGCUUUGGAUGAAGUGUAGUUCAUGAAAGCUUAUGCCAUAAUAUGUUUAUUAAACUUUAAGAUGCCACAAGACUUUUUGUUGUUUAUGUCUAUGUCAUCUGCUAUUACCAAUUACUUUCCUACAGAAAUUUAUUAUAGGAACAGGGCUAAAGGUUGACCUUUAGGGACCCCAAAUUCUUCUCCAGCUCAGAAUAAAAUCUUGACUGGGGAAGAAUUCCCAGUUUACUCUACUCCUUCCCACUCAGCCUCCAAUCCCUGAACCUUCCUCCCUUUAAGCUCUACUUACCACCCAGGACCAUCCCACUGUCCCGAAAUAUACAAGAUCAAACAGAGGCAGCAAGGGAAAUGAGCAAGACUCUUGGUGCUAGAGGCAAAGUUAAUAUGUGCUAAACACAACUUGACAGAAACCAGGAAAAUAUUUUUAAAAGAUUAAAACAGUCCAAAUACAUUUACUACCUGGGUUUAUCGGUAUAUGCGGAGGUUUCCAGUCUCUCAAUUUAUGGUUAAUGCAGAGUGCCAAGAUGCUAUCCCAAGGGAUCUCCUCUACAGAAGGGCCAUCGUCGUUUGAGCUGGCAUCCUUCCUGCUCUUCCACUUGAAGUAGGUUCUGCUCAGCAAAUUCUCUGCCUGAGACUGAAGUAUCUCCAGGGUCUGAAUAGAACUGGAAGUCUGGGACAAAUAUUGGAAAAUCAUGGCACAAACAGGACGCCAAGGAGCUGGAGGAUGGAGGAGGAAGAGAAGAUACAUUUAUUAAAGUCCAUGCCUAACAAUAAGAGAAAAAACUAUGGCUAAUGUUAUAUCCCAAUUUCUGCUCUGGUAUAAGCCAAACUGGUACCCUUUGUAGACCUUAAUUGAGUUUAAACUAUGAUUUAACACAGAACACCAAGCUUUUAAAAGUCCAAUAUAAUAGUUAACCUCUAAUGAGAAAGUGUUGUGGAAUAUUUAAAAAAUACUGAAAGCUGUGCAGCAAUGUCAGGCCUAUUUUUGCCAAGCAGACCCAGAAAAUAUAGGAACUGCAAAGUUUCUUGCAUCAACAUCUGGUGGAGUCAGGAUUCUUCAUUAGGCAAAACAGAAAGCCAUUCCUCCGUGUGUGCGUGCGUGCGUGCGUGCACGCACGCACACACACACGUGCGUAUUGGCAAAGCUAUUUCCCAAUGCAAUAUUUUAAUAAAUUUCAGAACUAUAAUCAGACAUACAUCAAAAUACAUGAAACUCAAUGGAAGCAACGUGGAAUUCCAUAAGAUCAUUUCUUUCUAUUCCAUUGUCUUUUGCGUUGAACAAGACAAUUAUUAAUUAGAACAUUUUAUUUGUGUGUCAAUACAACAGUGUCUAAGCUGGACAACAAUUUGAAACUUAUUGUUCUGUCUGGUUAGGAGUUCUUACCACUCAAAGGAGGGAGAUCCAUCUGUGGGAUCUGGAAGGACAGCAGUGCUUUCUUCAGCCAACCCUGGUGGCUGGGUGUGUUCCACUGGAGAUGUGGAAGCACCUUGCUGCCCCCAGGCUCCACAAAUUCAGCUACAGGCCAGGACAGUUCACCGAGAUCUUCUGAAGAGGCAACUUCAGCCAGGAACUGUACCACACUAUUAUAUAGCUCUAUAAUGGCGCUAGGAUCUUGGGAGGGCAAGCCAGCCACAAAUCUCUCCUUCAUGUCUUGGUAGAAACGUUUGUUGAAUUCACGGUCAAGGCCAUCUUCAACAUACUGCAUGAGCGCCUGGCAGUGAAGCUUGUCUAAGUCUGGGCACUGAGCAACUAGCCACUGCACUGCUUCAGAGAGCUGUAGACAGAGUUACACACAACAAAUUCACUAGUUGACAAAGAAGAAUAUAAAGUGUAAAUCCAUAUCAAUUAAUUCCCAUAUUAAGGAAGUCAGUCCUGUUGACACAGAAACCAUUUUCAUCCUCUCUCACACACUCAGCCCUUCCCCCAACACAACUCUCAGGAUUGGGCAGUCACCUAUAGCAGGGGUGGGGAACCUUUUUGGCCUGGUGGGCCAGGUCUUCCCUCCCCACCCUAUGGGCCAACUUUGACAGGUGGGCAGGACUACCCACCUGUCAGUCAUCUGACAUUAUGCCAUCAAGUCCUGCCCACCUGCCAAAGCUGACCUGUAGGAUGGGGAGGGGGAGAUAACAAACAGGACUAAACUCGCCACACAUCAGCUGGGGUGAAGGGAGCUUAAUCCUGCUUUCUGCAGGCUCCCUGUGUGCAAGUGAUUUCUGUGAGGACUCCAUGCAUCUGAACAGAGCAGGACUGAACUCCCCAUGUAUCAGCUGAUGGCCUGUGUGUAUUUAUUUAUUUAUUUAGUUAGUUUAAUUUAUAUACCGCCCUAAGCCCAAAGGCUCUCUGGGCGGUGUACAAAAAGAUAAAAACAAGCACAAUAUAUAAAUACAAUAAAUACAAUAAAUAAUAAUAAUAAAAAAAACAAUAACGAACCAAACAACAUCCAAAAUACGGAAAUGCUGUUUAAAAUACACUUUAAAAUGCCUGGGAGUAUAAAAAGGUUUUCACCUGGCGCCGAAAAGAUAGUAGCGUCGGCACCAGGCGCACCUCAUCAGAGAGACUGUUCCACAGUUCGGGGGCCACUACUGAAAAGGCCCUGGUUCUAGUCAUCACCCUCCGAGCCUCUCGAUGGGAUGGUACUCGGAGGAGGGCCUUAGAUGUUGAACGUAGUGUACGUGUUUGAAUCCUGCUUUUUACAGGCUUCAGGUGCACAAGGGAGUUCCCCACAGGAAACUAGCAUGCAUAGCCAAACCAAGCAGGAUUGUACACCCCCCCCAUCAGGUUUAGGAAAAAUGGCUUUACAGACCAAAUUGGAGCCCCUUGUAAUCUAAGACUGGCCCAUCAGCUGGACGUUGCCCUCCCCACAAGAAAAAUUCCACCCUAGGAGUUCUCCUGGAUCCCAAUUUGCUCUUUGGUAGACAGAAUUUGGGGGGUCCCAGGAAUUUGUUUUAUCAAAUAGAUCCUAUUUCCAGAGAGGAUAGAUCUAACUUUCUCCACAUUUUUAUAUGUUCCAGAAAUAACUAUUGUAACAUGCUCUAUGUGGGGCUGACCAUCAACCCAGAAACUUCAAUUAGUGCAGUGUUGCUGCCUGUUUCCUGUUAAGAGAGCAUAUUCACCCUUAAAAAAAGUUGCUAGGAAACUACAGAGCUGAACAGAAGCGACAUUCUGGCCCCUGGCGCUGGAGAGAGCAGCAGCAGCUGCAGGGAGCUUGCUUUCCCCUUCCCUGUUAGAAAGAAGCCAGACUACAGAACUGAAAGGGAGUGCAUUCUUACCCCAUCCAUCAGCCAAAGAACUAAGGGCUGCUGGGUUCUGUGUACACAGUGUAGGUUUUUGUUUGAUUGUAAUAAAACAAUCUUGCUGUAAGCUGCCUUGAGGAUCAUCUUAUUGAAAGGUAGGAUAUAAAUCUUUUAAAACAGUAAACCAAUUUAUUCUGCUGCCGCUCCACUAGUUACAGGUCCAAUUCAAAGAGCUGGCUCUUACCUUUAAAGUCCUUCCUGGCCUAGGACCCACAUCUGGUAAGAGGCUGCCUUCCCCCAUAUGAUCUCCACUGCUGUUUACAAUCUACAAGGCAAGGCCUACUCCAUGUGCUUAACACCACAUGGGAAGAGAGCAUGCCAGGAAGAAGGAGGAAUGCCUUCACCGCAAUUGUUCCAAACCCUUGGAACCUCCUCCCCCAUGAAUAGCCUCCCUGCACUGAACGUGGCAUAUAAACAUUUUUAAACAAAAUAAAAUUGAGGACUGAAUUCGUACAUUCAAGUACAAAAAUAAAAAACAGGCUAUACGUUUUUGAAAAACGAACAGUGAAUGCAGCAGCAUAGUUGAAAGUUUUAGUAAUUUCAUGGCUGCUGAAUACAAGCCCAAAUUACUUCUAGAGUUUCGCAUAGUUUUGUUUUAAAGUACUGAUUCUGUUACAUUUACAUCCCACCUUUCUUCAAAGGAGCUCAAGAAAGCAGACAUGGUUGUCCCUUCUCCAUCUUAUCCUCACAACAACUUGUGAGAUAGGCAGAGAGUGAGUGAUUGGCCCAAGAUCAUCCAGUGAGCUUCAUGGCUGAGUGUGAAUUUGAACCCUGGUCUUCCACCUCCUAGUCGUGACAGUCUAAUCAUUACACCACACUACUUUUUCUAUGUUUGGGGGUUACCAACCAACAGCUUUAAAAUGUGACUGAAAUAUAUGGGUAGGGCCACACUCAAGAGCCACCUCAGCCUUCAUCAAAGAAAAUGCUUUGAAAGUUAUACAUCGGUGGCACCUCCAGUCAAAUGGAACUAUAUCAACUUGUCCCUCUCCCCUCUGUGUUGGAGGGGAUGCCUGGUCCAUUGCUCUUUCCUACACUUAUGGUGGGACUGUAAUAAAGUGAGACAAUUCUGGAGUGAUGUUUUUCAAAUUGCUAGUAAAGUCCUUAAAGCUACAAUUAUCCCAGAUCUGGCCUUGGCACUUCCUUUCCUUAAAGGGGGUUCUAUUGCUCCUAAAACUCAGACGUCUCCCCUAUCCAGAUUCCUACUUGCAGUGAGGCUUGAAACAGCCAAAAAUUGGAAGGGAGCAGAACAUUUAUCAAUAAAAAAUUGGUUUAACAGACUUUGGCAACUUGCACUAGAUGAAAAAUUAACUCAAGAGUGAAAAAAAGCUUGGGGGGAGACAUCCUCCUAUAAAUUUACUCCAAUUUGGUAUCCCUUUUUAUGUUAUGCUAUCAAAGCUGAGGCAGAAGCGAGACCACCCUCAUCAUUAACUUCCUUUUGGUGGGAUGUGUACCCUCCCUUUUGAUUCUAUUAUUCUGCUUCCUGCUAUUCUUUCUGUUUUAUAUAUAAAGCUUCCGUUGAUGAAUGUACCCUUUUUCUAUUUCAUAUAGUGACAUUUUAUUGUAUUUUGAUUGUUUUACUUGUUAAGUUUACU